UUACCAUCAUGAAAUUUGACUGCUUGCUAUGUAUAUUUGGUUGAACAUUGUACCUUUUGGGCCUCGGUUAUAGUACUACGGAGAUGGGAAUUUAUUAAAAGGUUUCAGUUAUGUAUGUUCAUUGCAUGUGAUUGAAAGCUUCUUUAAUUUGUGGCAGAGGAUACAAAUUCAGUAGCAGUGUUUGGUUCCUUAAAGAUUUUGCGCUACAAUGUUUGGUUCCGAGCAAACCUGGAGAUGCAUAGGAGGAUGGAAGCACUUGGUGAACUUAUUCAACUACAUUCACCAGAUGUCAUUUGUUUACAGGAGGUUAGUCCAGAUAUAUAUGACAUAUUUCAGCAAUCCAGCUGGUGGAAAGCAUAUCAAUGCUCUGUUUCUUCUGAAAUAGCAAGUUCAAGAAGAUACUUUUGCAUGCAGGUAUGGUUUUGAUAUGUGCUGGAUGGUGAUUCUGCUUGUUAGUAUGCUUCUGGCUUACUUUACUUAGUGACAAAGUAUGGAUCCUGAGAAUUCUCUUUGUUGUACACUCUCUCCCCCAAACUGGAGAAUCAUGGAAACAUGGUUUUAUGUUGGCUGUUAAAUGAACUUCUGCAGGUUUUCCUUCU